UACGGGGGGAGCAAGCGUUGUUCGGAUUUACGUGGCGUAAAGGGCGCGUAGGCGGUCGUGACAAGUCACUUGUGAAAUCUCCGGGCUUAACUCGGAACGGUCAAGUGAUACUGUCGGACUAGAGUGCAGAAGGGGCAACUGGAAUUCUCGGUGUAGCGGUGAAAUGCGUAGAUAUCGAGAGGAACACCUGCGGCGAAGGCGGGUUGCUGGGCUGACACUGACGCUGAGGCGCGAAAGCCAGGGGAGCGAACGGG
rnacentral:rRNA from 1 species